rnacentral:rRNA from 1 species
UACGUAGGGUGCGAGCGUUGUCCGGAAUUACUGGGCGUAAAGCGUGCGCAGGCGGUUCGUUGUGUCGGCGGUGAAAGCCCCGGGCUCAACCUGGGAAUGGCCGUUGAAACUGGCGAACUGGAGUGUGGCAGAGGGGGGUGGAAUUCCGCGUGUAGCAGUGAAAUGCGUAGAGAUGCGGAGGAACACCGAUGGCGAAGGCAGCCCCCUGGGCUGACACUGACGCUCAGGCACGAAAGCGUGGGGAGCAAACAGG